GUAAGCUACUAAGAGCGAAUGGUGGAUGCCUUGACUGGUAAAGGCGAUGAAGGACGUACUAGACUGCGAUAAGCUACGGGGAGCUGUCAAGAAGCUUUGAUCCGUAGAUUUCCGAAUGGGGUAACCCAAUGUAUAGAGAUAUACAUUACCUAUAUAGGAGUGAACGAGGGGAAUUGAAACAUCUUAGUACCUUCAGGAAAAGAAAUCAAUAGAGAUUGCGUCAGUAGCGGCGAGCGAAAGCGCAAGAGGGCAAACCCAGUGCUUGCACUGGGGGUUGUAGGACUGCAAUGUGCAAGAGGUAAGUUUAGCAGAACAUUCUGGAAAGUAUAACCAUAGAGGGUGAUAGUCCCGUAUGCGAAAAACAAACCUUAGCUAGCAGUAUCCUGAGUAGGGCGGGACACGAGGAAUCCUGUCUGAAUCCGGGUCGACCACGAUCCAACCCUAAAUACUAAUACCAGAUCGAUAGUGCACAAGUACCGUGAGGGAAAGGUGAAAAGAACUGAGGUGAUCAGAGUGAAAUAGAACCUGAAACCAUUUGCUUACAAUCAUUCAGAGCCCUAUGUAGCAAUACAGGGUGAUGGACUGCCUUUUGCAUAAUGAGCCUGCGAGUUGUGGUGUCUGGCAAGGUUAAGCAAACGCGAAGCCGUAGCGAAAGCGAGUCUGAAUAGGGCGCUUAGUCAGAUGCUGCAGACCCGAAACGAAGUGAUCUAUCCAUGAGCAAGUUGAAGCUAGUGUAAGAACUAGUGGAGGACUGAACCCAUAGGCGUUGAAAAGCCCCGGGAUGACUUGUGGAUAGGGGUGAAAGGCCAAUCAAACUUCGUGAUAGCUGGUUCUCUCCGAAAUAUAUUUAGGUAUAGCGUUGUGUCGUAAUAUAAGGGGGUAGAGCACUGAAUGGGCUAGGGCAUACACCAAUGUACCAAACCCUAUCAAACUCCGAAUACCUUAUAUGUAAUCACAGCAGUCAGGCGGCGAGUGAUAAAAUCCGUCGUCAAGAGGGAAACAACCCAGACUACCAGCUAAGGUCCCUAAAUCUUACUUAAGUGGAAAACGAUGUGAAGUUACUUAAACAACCAGGAGGUUGGCUUAGAAGCAGCCAUCCUUUAAAGAAAGCGUAAUAGCUCACUGGUCUAGUGAUUUUGCGCGGAAAAUAUAACGGGGCUAAAGUAAGUACCGAAGCUGUAGACUUGCACACAACUUAGAUUAUUUAAGUUUAGAAUAUGAGAAACUAAGUUAUAUGUUUAGUUAUAUUUUUACUGAUUUUUAUAGAGUAAAGAUAGAAAUAAAACUUAGUAAAAUCAGUAAAAAUAUUCUUAGGCUAAAGUUAAGUAGUUUAAGUUGUGUGCAAGUGGUAGGAGAGCGUUCUAUUUGCGUCGAAGGUAUACCGGUAAGGAGUGCUGGAGCGAAUAGAAGUGAGCAUGCAGGCAUGAGUAGCGAUAAUUAAUGUGAGAAUCAUUAACGCCGUAAACCCAAGGUUUCCUACGCGAUGCUCGUCAUCGUAGGGUUAGUCGGGUCCUAAGUCGAGUCCGAAAGGGGUAGACGAUGGCAAAUUGGUUAAUAUUCCAAUACCAACAUUAGUGUGCGAUGGAAGGACGCUUAGGGCUAAGGGGGCUAGCGGAUGGAAGUGCUAGUCUAAGGUCGUAGGAGGUUAUACAGGCAAAUCCGUAUAACAAUACUCCGAGAACUGAAAGGCUUUUUGAAGUCUUCGGAUGGAUAGAAGAACCCCUGAUGCCGUCGAGCCAAGAAAAGUUUCUAAGUUUAGCUAAUGUUGCCCGUACCGUAAACCGACACAGGUGGGUGGGAUGAGUAUUCUAAGGCGCGUGGAAGAACUCUCUUUAAGGAACUCUGCAAAAUAGCACCGUAUCUUCGGUAUAAGGUGUGGUUAGCUUCGUACUAGGAUUUACUCCGAAAGCGAAGAAACUUACAACAAAGAGUCCCUCCCGACUGUUUACCAAAAACACAGCACUCUGCUAACUCGUAAGAGGAUGUAUAGGGUGUGACGCCUGCCCGGUGCUCGAAGGUUAAUUGAUGGGGUUAGCAUUAGCGAAGCUCUUGAUCGAAGCCCGAGUAAACGGCGGCCGUAACUAUAACGGUCCUAAGGUAGCGAAAUUCCUUGUCGGUUAAAUACCGACCUGCAUGAAUGGCGUAACGAGAUGGGAGCUGUCUCAAAGAGGGAUCCAGUGAAAUUGUAGUGGAGGUGAAAAUUCCUCCUACCCGCGGCAAGACGGAAAGACCCCGUGGACCUUUACUACAGCUUGACACUGCUACUUGGAUAAGAAUGUGCAGGAUAGGUGGGAGGCUUUGAGUAUAUGACGCCAGUUGUAUAUGAGCCAUUGUUGAGAUACCACUCUUUCUUAUUUGGGUAGCUAACCAGCUUGAGUUAUCCUCAAGUGGGACAAUGUCUGGUGGGUAGUUUGACUGGGGCGGUCGCCUCCCAAAUAAUAACGGAGGCUUACAAAGGUUGGCUCAGAACGGUUGGAAAUCGUUCGUAGAGUAUAAAGGUAUAAGCCAGCUUAACUGCAAGACAUACAAGUCAAGCAGAGACGAAAGUCGGUCUUAGUGAUCCGGUGGUUCUGUGUGGAAGGGCCAUCGCUCAAAGGAUAAAAGGUACCCCGGGGAUAACAGGCUGAUCUCCCCCAAGAGCUCACAUCGACGGGGAGGUUUGGCACCUCGAUGUCGGCUCAUCGCAUCCUGGGGCUGGAGCAGGUCCCAAGGGUAUGGCUGUUCGCCAUUUAAAGCGGUACGCGAGCUGGGUUCAGAACGUCGUGAGACAGUUCGGUCCCUAUCUGCCGUGGGCGUAAGAAGAUUGAAGAGAUUUGACCCUAGUACGAGAGGACCGGGUUGAACAAACCACUGGUGUAGCUGUUGUUCUGCCAAGAGCAUCGCAGCGUAGCUAAGUUUGGAAAGGAUAAACGCUGAAAGCAUCUAAGCGUGAAGCCAACUCUAAGAUGAAUCUUCUCUAAGCUCUCUAGAAGACUACUAGUUUGAUAGGCUGGGUGUGUAAUGGAUGAAAGUCCUUUAGCUGACCAGUACUAAUAGAGCGUUUGGCUUAUCUUUAAUAAAGCAU
rnacentral:rRNA from 1 species